rnacentral:lncRNA from 1 species
CUGGGGGGUCAAAGGAUCAACAUAUAUUACAUUGAAAGAUCAAUACUCAAAAGAAAUACGCUUCAAAUAAUUUUAAGAAUGAAACUCUAACAAACUAGAACUUGGAAGAAGAAAAUAAGAAAUUCAAUUCUACAUCAACUACAAAUAGUAAUUCACUUAUACAAAAAUUAUUGAGUAAAAAAGCAGAGAUUUGGGCAAGGUUCACUCCAGACAAUGAAGUAACGAAACCCGAACAAUAAUAGAGAAAGGAGGAAAAGGGCAGCCGAUCAUUACUAGGUAGAAAUAACUUGGAUAUACGCAUUAAAUUUAAUCUUAGUAUGCUUGAAGGGUAUAGAUAAUAAGGACGUAUAAGUGGAAAAUAAUUAGCAUAGUAGAACACUUUUACAUCGAAGAUUUAACACAAGGAACUAUG